rnacentral:piRNA from 1 species
UGUUCUUCGGUAGUCCAUGAAUACAUUU